rnacentral:rRNA from 1 species
UAGUGUAGAGGUGAAAUUCGUAAAUAUUAGGAGGAACACCAGUGGCGAAGGCGUCUAUCUGGUUCAAAUCUGACGCUGAGGCGCGAAGGCGUGGGGAGCAAACAGGAUUAGAUACCCUGGUAGUCCACGCUGUAAACGAUGAAUGUUAAAUAUGGGAAGUUUUACUUUCUGUAUUACAGCUAACGCGUUAAACAUUCCGCCUGGGGACUACGGUCGCAAGAUUAAAACUCAAAGGAAUUGACGGGGACCCGCACAAGCGGUGGAGCAUGUGGUUUAAUUCGAUGCAACGCGAAAAACCUUACCACUCCUUGACAUGGAAAUUAUACCUAUUCGAAGGGAUAGGGUCGGUUCGGCCGGGUUUCACACAGGUGUUGCAUGGCUGUCGUCAGCUCGUAUCGUGAGAUGUUGGGUUAAGUCCCGCAACGAGCGCAACCCUCAUCCUUAGUUACCAUCAGGUAAUGCUGGGGACUUUAAGGAAACUGCCAGUGAUAAACUGGAGGAAGGUGGGGAUGAUGUCAAGUCAUCAUGGCCCUUAUGGAGUGGGCUACACACGUGCUACAAUGGUGGCUACAAUGGGCUGCAAAGUCGCGAGGCUAAGCUAAUCCCUUAAAAGCCAUCUCAGUUCGGAUUGUACUCUGCAACUCGAGUGCAUGAAGUUGGAAUCGCUAGUAAUCGUGGAUCAGCACGCCACGGUGAAUACGUUCUCGGGUCUUGUACACACUGCCCGUCACGCCAUGGGAAUUGGUUUCACUCGAAGCUAACGACCUAACCGCAAGGAGGGAGUUAUUUAAAGUGGGAUCGGUGACUGGGGUGAAGUCGUANCAAGGUAGCAGUAGGGGAAUCUGCGGC